UACGGAGGAUCCGAGCGUUAUCCGGAUUUAUUGGGUUUAAAGGGUGCGUAGGCGGCUUUUUAAGUCAGCGGUGAAAUUUUGCAGCUUAACUGUAACAGUGCCGUUGAUACUGGGGAGCUAGGAUUUGGUUGCUGUGGGUGGAAUGUGUGGUGUAGCGGUGAAAUGCUUAGAUAUUACACAGAACACCAAUUGCGUAGGCAGCUUACUGAGCCGACACUGACGCUGAGGCACGAAAGCGUGGGGAUCAAACAGGAUUAGAUACCCGCGUA
rnacentral:rRNA from 1 species